AACCUUAUGGACCUGCGGGCGUAUACCUGCGGAGGGAUCAUUACACAAUAAACAUAUGAAGGCUGCACCGCCAACAGGCGGCAAGGCUGGAGUAUUUUAUUACCCUUGUCUUUUGCGCACUUGUUGUUUCCUGGGCGGGUUCGCCCGCCUCCAGGACCACAUGAUAAACCUUUUUUAUGCAGUUGCAAUCAGCGUCAGUACAACAAAUGUAAAUCAUUUACAACUUUUAACAAUGGAUCU
rnacentral:misc_RNA from 1 species